rnacentral:tRNA from 1 species
GGGCUCUUAGCUCAGCUGGUUAGAGCGCCGCGUCGACAUCGCGGAGGCCGUAGGUUCGAAUCCUACAGAGCCCACCU